rnacentral:rRNA from 1 species
UACGGAGGGGACUAGCGUUGUUCGGAAUUACUGGGCGUAAAGCGCACGUAGGCGGCUUUGUAAGUCAGGGGUGAAAUCCCCGGGCUCAACCUGGGAACUGCAUUUGUGACUGCAUGGCUAGAGUACGGUAGAGGGGGAUGGAAUUCCGCGUGUAGCAGUGAAAUGCGUAGAUAUGCGGAGGAACACCGAUGGCGAAGGCAAUCCCCUGGACCUGUACUGACGCUCAUGCACGAAAGCGUGGGGAGCAAACAGG